GACCUGUGUACCUCAGUUGGUUCGAGCACUGCACCAGGAUUGCAGGGUGACAAGUUCAAUUCCUGUCAAGGACC